GAUGAACGCUGGCGGCGUGCCUAAUACAUGCAAGUCGAGCGAACGGACGAGAAGCUUGCUUCUCUGAUGUUAGCGGCGGACGGGUGAGUAACACGUGGAUAACCUACCUAUAAGACUGGGAUAACUUCGGGAAACCGGAGCUAAUACCGGAUAAUAUUUUGAACCGCAUGGUUCAAAAGUGAAAGACGGUCUUGCUGUCACUUAUAGAUGGAUCCGCGCUGCAUUAGCUAGUUGGUAAGUUAACGGCUUACCAAGGCAACGAUGCAUAGCCGACCUGAGAGGGUGAUAGGCCACACUGGAACUGAGCCACGGUCCAGACUCCUACGGGAGGCAGCAGUAGGGAAUCUUCCGCAAUGGGCGAAAGCCUGACGGAGCAACGCCGCGUGAGUGAUGAAGGUCUUCGGAUCGUAAAACUCUGUUAUUAGGGAAGAACAUAUGUGUAAGUAACUGUGCACAUCUUGACGGUACCUAAUCAGAAAGCCACGGCUAACUACGUG
rnacentral:rRNA from 1 species